CGAACGCUGGUCGCGUGCUUAACAAUGCAAGUCGAGCGGAAAGGCUCCUUCGGGGGUACUCGAGCGGCCCACGGGUGAGUAACACGUGAGUAAUCUGCCCUUCACUCUGGGAUAACGUUCAGAAAUGGGUGCUAAUACCGGAUGUACACAUGGUCUCGCAUGGGGUUGUGUGGAAAGGUUUUUCUGGUGGGGGAUGUGCUCGCGGCCUAUCAGCUUGUUGGUGGGGUAAUGGCCUACCAAGGCUUUGACGGGUAGCCGGCCUGAGAGGGUGACCGGCCACACUGGGACUGAGACACGGCCCAGACUCCUACGGGAGGCAGCAGUGGG
rnacentral:rRNA from 1 species